GACGAACGCUGGCGGCGUGCUUAACACAUGCAAGUCGAACGGAAAGGCCCGGCUUUGUGGCGGUGCUCGAGGGGCGAACGGGUGAGUAACACGUGAGUAACCUGUCCUUGACUGUGGGAUAACUUCAUGAAACUUGAGCUAAUACCGGAUAGGAGCUCCUGCUGCAUGGUGGGGGUGGGAAAGUUUCGGCGGUUGGUGAUGGACUCGCGGCCUAUCAGCUUGUUGGUUGGGUAGUGUCUUACCAAGGCUUUGACGGGUAGCCGGCCUGAGAGGGUGACCGGCCCCAUUGGGACUGAGAUGAGGCACAGCCUACUACGGGAGGCAAGAGUGGGGAAUAGUGUACAAUGGGAGGAAGCCUGAUGCAGCAACGCCGCGUGCGGGAUGACGGCAUUCGGGUUGUAAACCGCUUUCGCCUGUGACGAAGCGUGAGUGACGGUACUGGGUAAAGAAGCACCGGCUAACUACGUG
rnacentral:rRNA from 1 species